rnacentral:rRNA from 1 species
UACGAAGGGGGCUAGCGUUGCUCGGAAUCACUGGGCGUAAAGGGCGCGUAGGCGGAUCUUUAAGUCGGGGGUGAAAGCCCAGAGCUCAACUCUGGAAUUGCCUUUGAAACUAGAGAACUUGGGUACGGGAGAGGUGAGUGGAAUUCCGAGUGUAGAGGUGAAAUUCGUAGAUAUUCGGAAGAACACCAGUGGCGAAGGCGGCUCACUGGCCCGUUACCGACGCUCAGGCGCGACAGCGUGGGGAGCAAACAGG